UUAUUUUUCAACGCCUUUGCUACGGGUACAAUGGCAAUGGGCAAACCAGCACAUUCCUUGACUGUAUCUGUGGCUACAGAUUUUAGUUCACUACUUUCUAUGCAAUCACCUGCCAUCUUCUUAAAAAGACUCCAAGCUUCUUUCUUAUUCAAAAUAUCGACAAAAAAAUUACGUUGACAAUCCAUCUCAGAAGACAACACAUCUAGACUUCUUGCUGUCAGCAGAACUUUACAUCUGCUGUUAUCAUCUGCUAAUGGAAUUCCAACAGCCUCCAAAUCAAGACUCCCCCAAAUAUCAUCCAAGGUUAAAAGGAUCUUCUUCUCUACCUUCAAUCGUUCAUGUAGCCUCCCUGCUCUAACAGUUUCAAUCCCUUCAACUAAUCGCAAGCCUAUCUUCUCUGCAAUUUCUUCUUGUAUCUUCUUUAUUUGUGCUGUUUGGGAUACUUGCGCAGAAAUGACCUUCUCAAAGAGAUUAUUUCCUUGACUUGCCUACCAACUUCCUUCACCAGCAUCGUCUUUCCAACGCCACCCAUCCCGUAUGCCCCAAUCAUGUUGAAGUUAUGAUUGCUUAAUGAGCCUAGUAUUUCCUUCAAAGUGGAUUUUCUUGAUUCAAAGUGAAUGAAACCUUCGGUAGACUUAAGCCAUAUCUCCUCUGGAAUUGUACGGAAAGAAACGCUGUCAAAUUUCCUUUUUUCAUGGAGUCCAACAAUAGCAUUCACCUCCCUUUCUGCUUUCUUACUAAGCUGGUAGUGGGUCUUCAAAUUGGGACACAACCCAUUAAAACACCAGUUGUUUGAUUUUUCUUCAACUUCAAUAAGCUUCCUAACUUCACUGAUGACCUCGUCCACACUAAUCAGCCACUCCUCAACGUGCUGUUGAAUUCCAUCCCCUUUGAUUUUGGAAUCAUCUACUUUAUACUGUACACUGUCUCUAGCAUUCUUUAGUUUAUCAACAUCAUUCUUCAGCUUCUUGAAGUUGGUCUUGUACGUGCAGCAGUAAGUAAAUGGAUGAAUAAUGGGAGCAACCAAGUACUCUGCAACUUUUGCAACAACGGAGGUAACAAUUUCCAUUAUCCUUUUUUAUUUAUUUUAUUUUUAUUUUGCCUUGAGAAAACAGGGGAAAACAAAACCAAUCGCAACAAGAAAUAAGAGACAAGGAGGGCAAGGAAUGAAAAAGCUAGAAAUAAAAAAAGGGAGUACAGUGAAAGAUCUGCAAAAAAGGUUUAGAAAAAGGAUGAUUAAGAAAAGGGAACCAGAAAAUGUAUAAGGGAUUUUCAGAGAAUCUGAGAAAAGUUGGAUGAUUAAGAAAAUGCUGGAGCAGGACAUUUAUGACUUCUGUUAGUAAUUUGAUUUCGUGAAGCAUUUUCAAAAAGAAAAUAAUGCAAACAAUUCGAGAUUUGGUGAUGAUAAUGAAAGAUUAAGUAAGCUAUUCCAUAAUUUAUAUGCAUGUAAAGCAGCAAUCCAAUAACUUAAAAAGAGUUAAAAACAUUUGCUAUAGGAAAUGGUUGUGUUGACGUGUAUUUCGGGGAUCAUGAAAUAUAAACAAAGACCGCGUUAAAAGAUGUUCAAGCAAUCCUUUUUCUCUCUUGACCUCCGUGACUGGUUAUGCUUCAAUUUGGGCAAGGCUGGUAUCAAUAAGGUUGUGGAUGAAUGGGCCUGCUUAUUUGGCGUUGCUGUUUGGAAAAUUUGGUUCUGGCGCAACCAAUUUAUCUUCACUCACAAUGCCCCUUGCUGCACUCAAAUGGUCACGGAAAUUAGAACGUGGGUUCAUGAUAUCCAUAUUGCAAGAGUAGGCCUCAAUGUUGUUCGUACCAGUAAAACCAUCAAAGAAAUUGGCUGACAAGCUCCCUCGGAAUCCUUUUUCAAAUUGAAUACAGAUGGUUCUCGAUUAAAAAAUGGGUUGGCAAGUGCUGGAGGAUUGGUGAGGGACUGUUCUGGCAAAUGGCAGUUUGGAUUUGGCAUGAACAUUGGUCUCUGUUCGGUGACUUCUGCUGAAUUAUGGGGUUUGUUUCAAGGUCUUCAUCUUGCGUGGAAUCGGGGUAUCCGGUACUUGGUGGCAGAGGUGGACAGCCAAUGUAUCUUUCAACUUAUCUCUUCCACAAGAACAGAGCCUAAUGCACAUCUUUCACUUAUCAAUGCCAUCAAGGAGUUGAUAAAUAGAGAUUGGAAAAUUACAAUAAAGCAUAUAUAUCGGAAAGCAAAUUUUGCUGCUGAUUUCAUGGCCAAGUUGGCAGGAUCUUUACCUCUCGGUUUUCAUAAUUUUGAUAACCCACCAGAGGGUAUUGGAUAUUGGUUAUGUAAUGAUAUGUAUGGGAAUAGUAUUCCCCGCUCUGUUUUGUCCUAAUCUUUAUUAGGCCCCAUUGUAUCAAAAAAAAAAAAAAAAAAGACCGCGUUAAAAGAUAAGCAAAAGUUGGCAAGAUUGGUAAUGAUAUAUUAAAAGAAAGACUAAUAAAGCUUUCCUAGCAGCAUUAAUCAUGAUCAUUUGAUAAACUAGAGGUAAUAAAUGGUUAUAUUUUUAGUGGAAAACAGAGUACGUUACAUGAGCUGAUUGCUUUUGUCAAUAUUCAACCAAAAAUACAAGUUAAUCAAAAUAACCUACCAUCAAGUCAACCUUGGGGCAGAAAAACUAGUAACAUUAAAUGAACAUAGAGGGAUGAGUUGGGCCAAGUCUUUAAAUUAGCUAUGUCAUGGAAAAUAACAAGAAGAUUAAAAAAAAAAAGAAUCAAUCAACUAGUAUUUAGUAUAAUGUUUUCACAUUUAAUAAACUAGGAGACUAAUACACUAUCACUCAGCAUUAAUCAAAAUUAUCUGAUAAACUAGUAUAUAUUGGAUAUCUCUGUGCAAAACAAAGUGCUAAGAGAUAAAAAUUAACCUGGUGUCUUUGCCAGGUGUUUAUAAUCGCUAAGCUUGCCUCAUACCAUUGCCAACUUUGGCCAUCUGGUAGUUGCUUAUUGAAGAAAACAAAGGAAUUUCUCGGCAAACAUAACAUAGCGACUGAAGUGAAAGAAAAACUUUAAUUUUUGGUGUAGUCAUUAGUAAAAUUUGAGCCAAAAAGAAAAAUUCAUAUUUGUAAACUUAGAAACAAUAAUCAUUUGGAAGUAGUUGCUGAAAUUAAUUAGGUGAUUUUAACCUCAAAUUUGAGACCAUAAAUCAAUUGAAUGUUUUGAUUUCAAUACUAGUGGCAAUCACGUACACGUUUAACGACUUAGUCAAAUUUAUAGCAACUAAUAAGUAUCCAACUUUGCAACCGUAUUUAUUUCUCAUGAUUUGAUUAAACUGGGCACUCUGAAAACUUCAGUUCCUUCUAUUGUUGUAAGCUGAAUGAUACAUGCACGAUUUGAUUAAACCGUAUUUAUUUAUAUAUUGAAUGCUACUUCAUUGAAUUUUACUGCCGCAAUAAUACUAAAUGAUUUUUCAUGACAAAAAAUUCAAUAAUUAGAAUGAUUAUGAGUUAAUUUAAUGCUGAAUUUCAUCAUUAACUGCUGAAAUACUCCAGAAAUCCAAAUACAUUUAACUAAACACUAAUUUAAUCAAAUCAUUAAACACACAAUCUGAAAGCGGAUUCAAAAUAACUUUAAUAAAAAAGCCAAAAGCAAAACAAUCAACAAAGAAACAGAAGAAACUCUCACCAAUGCCAUCUGACCCUUGAUAGAAAGAAAGAAGUCAAGCUCCAUGUAAUAUAACGCCUCACAAAUUACACAGAAAAAUGGCCGCAUUCCAUAUGAUGCAUAGAACGUGGGCCGAAUCCUCUUCGUAAGUUUGGAAUUGCUGGAGAAAAAUACACAAUAAAGGUGAAAUCAAGAAAAUAAGGAUAAUGAUAUUUCGUGCAAUUUUCAUGUAAUUUGCAGGAAUUAGCUUCUAUUUGGUAAGCAGUACUGGAUGCCUAACUAUUAUUACUAUUACUAUUAUUUACAUGGAUGGGGUUGGGUGAGACAGGUUUAUCAUAAUUAACCUAACCCAACCCAACCCAACCCAAUUAUUAAUUGGAUUCUAAAAAAUUACCUAAUUAACCCUAUAAUAAUUCACUUAAUCCAUCAAAAUUUGAUUGGAUUAGAUUGGGUUGGACUGGAUUCGUCGGGUUGGAUUGAAUUCACCGGGAUUGGAUUGAGUUUGCCUACCCCUAGCUCUUGACCCACAUUAUUUAUUUUUAUUAUUUAGUAAUUUCAUUCAAUCAAUAAAUUUAAAUUUCAAAUUUGUAUAAAAUAAGUUUAUACAAGAGCUUUUAACUCUAUCAUCACUCAUCAAACAAUGUUAGAUGAAACAAUAAAUGAAAUAAACAAAGGUAUCAUUAAAUCCAAAAGCAUCCAAUGUGUCAAAAAAUAUCCUAUCAUUUGCAAUAAAAAUAUUAAAAUAUUAUUUUCGAAAUCAAUAAUGAUAUAACCACAAACAUUAAGAACUUGUGUAAACAAACUAACGUGGCAUAAAGACAUUAACUAAAAAUGGAUAACUAUUAUUUUUCUAAAUCAUGUGGGUCUAUAACAGUUUUAUACAACCAAUCUUCUCAUGCAACAUAUGUAUGAUUUUUUUUUUUACAUGGUGGUUGUGGCUCUAUAUAUCCAAGUCGUUGUUCAACUUCAAGAGAUCCAAAAUUUGUGAAAGAAGCCACGAAGAGAUUUUACGCCAUUCAACAUGCCUAUUCUGCUGUUAACCUUACUAAAUUCCAAAAUUUUAAUUCUUAUUUAUUUAUUUAUUUAUUAUGCAUGUAAUUUGUAGUAUACAAUAAGAAAUAAAAUUGUAAUCUUUUUUAUAAUGACGGAUAAUUAUCGGAUUCACGAGAUGUUGUUUUCCUUCUUCUCUCUUCAAGUUCUAUCCGAUGCCAACAAGAGGUUCUUGUACUAUGUAGGAGUCUAUGAUAGUGAUGAUGAAAAAAAUAAUAUGAGCUCCAAUUUUGCGUGCGCGCGCGUGUUGAGUGUUAGAAAAUGCAUAUUUAUAAAGGAGAAAACCGUCAUUUUACAUUUCAAGUCUUAUUAACAACCCUUACUUUUAUGUAUUUAACCUUCUUGUGAUUUAAUUACAUGUGUUUUAUUUUAAUUAAGUAUUUUAUGUAUUUUAGGGGCAUUAUAGUCAUUUCACAAUAAAGGAGAGAUCAGAUGGCAAAACGGACAUCACUUUUGAAUUCAGGACGGUCGAAAACCUUAGGAGGGGCAUAAAAGGAAAAAUGGUACUAUUCACAUGUACGGUACUAUUCACGUAUACGGUACUGUAUAUGUUACUGUUCACGGCACUGUUCAUAUAGACGGAUCGAUGACGUGGCAUUGACCGAUGAUGUGGCAUUGACUGAUGAGGUGUCACGAUCCUGUUGGACUAAAAUUCUUAUGUACUGUUGAUGGUGACGUGGCAGCAUAUCAGUGGACGAAAAAUCUCGCGUACGGUGCAUGCAUCACACAGGAUUAUUUUCAACCAAACCGUGUUACUGUUCAUCCGCGUGGUCAAACCGUGGACUGUUGACUGAUGACGUGGCGCAAUCCUGAGCGUCCAAACUGUUUUUAAUCCGAUGGCCAUGAUUUACUCCAUGUAUCUAUAAAAAGGGGGCCUCCCCCCCCUAAUUUGAUAGCUCUGAAUCCAUUUUUGGGAUUCAUUUUCUGUAAUUCCUUCUCCAUCUUGUAUUUUCUUCGUAUUUUAAUAAAUUCCCAUUUUGCCCCUAGUUCAAUUAUGAGUGGCUAAUUUUCUUUCAAGCUUGGGUUGAAGGUGAAGUCUCAACAUGUGUCAUGGGCUUAAUUUGGUAAAUUUAUUUUCUCUUCCCCUCUAGUUUUUGUGGAUGUUUUGACUUAUCGUCGACAAAUAAUACUGAUCUUGUCUAGAUACCGCCUUGGUUACACCGGCUCUCUAGUAUAAGGUUAUUAUUAUUUGGCACGAUAAGCCCUUAGCACCAUAUUGAUUAGAGCGUGGUUCAUGAGGUGUGGAUUCCCCCCUCAUGAUUUAAUUGGCAUUAAUACGGAUUAUUUAGCCCAUGAUGCAUGUUGAUACGGAUCCAGAUACCCAAGUACGUCAUUUCAAUAGAAUUCUCUUCAAUUUAUUCUCGCCAUUUUAAUUUAAGUUUUAGCAUAUUCCAAAUCAUUUCCACCACAAUUCCAACCGCCCAUUUACAAAAUUAAUUCUAUAUAUAAUUAAAAAUCCACCUCCUCGUGGGAUCGACACUCGUCACCAUUAGUCUACACUACAAUAGAUUCGUGCGCUUGCGAGUACAUUAAAAUUUGCACAACAAGUUUUUGGCGCCGUUGCCGGGGAGGUAAGUAAUUUUAAUUCAUAGAAUUAAUUUUUGUGAAUAAUUUAUUUUAAAUUGUUUUCUUGUAUUUUUUAUUAUAAAAAAAAGAAAAAAAAGAGUAAAUCUACAUUUAAAGGUUAGUAUUUCUUUUCUUUUUCUCUUCUUUAAAAUUUUGUAAUUUAUUUUUCAAUUUAUUUUUUUUCUUUCUUUGUAAUUUUUUGUUUAUUUUAUUAAUUUAAUUUUUAGUUAAUUUAUUUCACGUAUUUUUUUUUGUGUAUUUUUAUAGAAAGGUUGUAAUAACGCAAUAAGGUUAGUAUCGUAAUUUCUCCCUCUUCUUUAUUUUUAUUUGUUUUGUUGCCAUCUUUAUUUUUAUUUUAUUUGUUUUGCAUGCAUGGUCGUAGGUCAUUAUUACCUAAUCUUGAACCUAUAGACCUUGAACUUGAGAAAACACUUCGCACACAAAAGCACAUUAAUAAAUUUGGAAUGGAUUUACAAGCACCACAGGAGAGGCCAUUUAAGGACUAUUUUAGUCCCUUAGCUAAUUUGAGCACAUCAUGCAUAAGAUACCCAAAUGUAGCUGCUAGGAGUUUUGAAUUAAAACCUAGUGUGCUAAAUUGUCUCCCCACAUUCUAUGGCUUAGAAAAUGAGGACCCAUAUAAUCAUCUGAAUGAUUUUCAUACCAUUUGUCAAAAUUUUAAAUAUGAAAAUUUUUCAGACGAUGAUGUUAAACUCAGAUUAUUCCCAUUUUCUUUAAAGGAUAGAGCUCGUUCAUGGUUAAAUACUUUGCCUGCUAAUAGCAUUGCAUCAUGGGAACAAAUGGUUACAAAACUUCUAAAUAAAUAUUUCCCAGUGCAUAAAACCAAUUCUAUUCGCAGGGAAAUUUCAGAGUUUACACAAAGAGAGGACGAGCAGUUUUUCGAAACAUGGGAGCGAUUCAAUGGGCUACUCUUGAAGUGUCCACAUCAUGGGUACGAAAAAUGGAACCAAUGUCAAUACUUUUUGGAGGGAUUACUACCAAAUGUGCAAGAAUGGCUAAUGGCAACAAGUGGAGGAGAGCUAAUGUCAAAAAGUGCAUCAGAAAUUUGGGAGUUUUUCCAGCGACAAGCGGACAAUUCCCAACAACGGAGUCGAUCACUCAGGAAUACUAAAAGAAUUAAAGGAGUGAAUGAGGUUCACAUUGGCGAGUCAAGUUCAGAAAUUAAAGAAGUCAAAGCAAUAAUUGAAGGUCUCUCUCGACAAAUAGCAUCGUUAUCGACUGCUAAAUCAACAGAGCCACAUGACCAUGACUCAUACUCAGAUCAAGCCAAUGCCAUAGGUGUAAUGAGAAAGCCAUCUAAUUACAACCCAUACUCCAACACAUAUAACCCUGGAUGGAGAGACCACCCCAAUUUUUCAUGGUCUCAAGGAUUCCAACAGAAUGGACCAGCAGCUCCAGCUCCACAAAUUCCUCAAAAUCCUCAAGCCUCUCAGCCCCCAUUUAGACCAUUCAAUCAGAACCAGAACUACUCUCAACCCAGACCAUGGAGGAUUCAUUCCAGAAUUUCAAGAAUGCUACUCACUCUACGAUUGAGCAACAGAACCGCACCAUUGAUGGACUACGAAAUGAGUUGAGAGCAGGCUUCAACUCACAAGCCCAAUCAGUUUCAAGCCUUGAGAAGAUGGUGGGACAACUCGCUUCUUCAGUUCAGACCUUGGCAAUGACUGUUGAGAAAGGUAAAUUUCCAAGUCAACCAGUGCCUAACCCUAAAGGAGUACAUGAAGCAAGUACCAGUUCACCACAGCAGCAUGGAGAGGUCAAAGCAGUAAUGACCUUGCGAAAAGGAAAGGAAGUCGACAACAAAGUGGAGAUGCCGGUGACCAAAGAAAAUCAAAUUGUACCUGUGAAUGUUGAGGACUCACCACCGGAGGAGAAAGAAGAAACCAACCCACGAGAAUACAUUCCGAAAGCUCCAUUUCCUCAGAGGUUAGCGAAAGGAAAAAAGGGAAAAUCCACAGGUGAGAUUCUUGAAAUCUUUAAACAGGUAAGUGUUAACAUCCCUUUGCUUGAUGCUAUUAAACAAGUUCCAUCUUAUGCCAAGUUUCUUAAAGACCUUUGUACUAAAAAGAGAAAUAUGCAUGUUCAAAAGAAGGCAUUUUUAACAGAAAACGUUAGUUCUAUACUCCAACAUAAAAUUCCUUUAAAAUGCAAAGACCCAGGCUCCCCCACUAUCUCAUGUAGUAUAGGGAACCACACAAUUGAGAAUGCUUUGUUGGAUUUAGGAGCUAGUGUAAAUUUGUUGCCUUAUUCAGUAUUUGUGAAACUUGGACUGGGAGAAUUACACCCAACUCCAGUGGUGUUACAGCUUGCAGAUCGGUCCACGAAAAUACCUCGUGGUAUUGUGGAGGACGUGCUUAUCCAGGUAGACAAGUUUUAUUUUCCUGUUGAUUUCAUUGUAAUUGACACUCAACCAAUACAGGACUCAAGGAAGCACAUCCCCAUUAUUCUAGGCCGACCUUUCUUGGCAACUGCAGAUGCUCAUAUUCAAUGUAGGACCGGAAAUAUGCAAUUGUCCUUCGGCAACAUGACUAUGGAGCUAAACAUUUUCAACAUUGCCAAACAACCUCACAGUGCAGAUGAUGGAAUUGUUGAUGUGGAUUUAAUAGAAACAAUAGUUGAUAAUACUUUUCUUUCAAACCUUAGUGAUGAUUCUUUACAAACAUGUUUAACUCACUUUGGUUUGGAUUUUGAUAUUGACAGAUCGGUCGAAGAGGUCAACGCCCUACUUGACUCAGCACCAUCCAUGGACACUAAUAAAUGGAAGUCAAGAGUUGAACAACUAGCACCAUCAGAGAAGAAACUCAUUCCAUCAUCAGAAUCACCACCGAAACUCGAGCUCAAACCAUUACCCAACACUCUGGAAUAUGCAUUUUUGGGAGAAGAAAGUACUCUGCCGGUAAUCAUCUCAUCAUCCCUAAAUGACGAACAAAAAGGUAAGUUGUUGGAUGUUUUAAAAGAGCACAAAGGGGCAUUAGGAUGGACCAUAGCAGACAUAAAAGGUAUAAACCCAGUAGACUGCAUGCAUUACAUUCACCUUGAUGAAAAUGCUAAAACUACUAGGGAGAUGCAACGUCGGUUAAAUCCUAACAUGAAAGAAGUUGUUAGAACUGAAGUCCUUAAGCUAUUAGAUGCAGGUAUCAUUUACCCAAUUUCUGAUAGUUCAUGGGUCAGUCCUGUACAAGUUGUCCCCAAAAAGUCAGGAGUCACAGUAGUUACCAAUGCUGAUAAUGAAUUGAUACCAACUAGAGUAACUACAGGAUGGCGUGUAUGCAUUGAUUAUAGAAAGUUGAAUUCUGUCACACGUAAAGACCAUUUUCCUUUACCAUUUAUUGAUCAAAUGCUUGAUAGAUUAGCAGGCCAUGAAUUUUAUUGCUUUCUAGAUGGCUACUCAGGAUAUAAUCAAAUUCCCAUAGUACCAAAAGAUCAAGAGAAAACUACUUUCACUUGCCCUUUUGGCACUUUUGCAUAUAGGAGAAUGCCAUUUGGAUUAUGUAAUGCACCUGCUACAUUCCAACGAUGCAUGUUGAGCAUUUUUUCUGAUAUGGUUGAACGAUUCCUUGAAGUCUUUAUGGAUGAUUUUUCUGUCUUUGGUGACUCGUUUGAUCAAUGUUUACAUCAUCUAACACUAGUUCUACAGAGAUGUAUCGAGAAGAGCUUAGUCUUAAAUUGGGAGAAGUGCCAUUUUAUGGUAAAACAAGGUAUUGUUCUCGGUCACAUCAUUUCGAACAAAGGUAUUGAGGUUGACAAAGCCAAGGUGGAUCUCAUUUCUAAUCUUCCUCCACCCAAAACAGUCAGAGAAGUAAGAUCUUUCCUUGGACAUGCUGGUUUCUAUCGACGUUUUAUUAAAGAUUUUAGUAAAGUUUCUAGACCCUUAUGCAAUUUACUUGCUAAGGAUGUACCUUUUAUCUUUAAUGAUUCAUGUCUUAUGGCUUUUGAAAAAUUAAAGCAAUUGUUGACAUCAUCACCCAUCAUUCAGGCCCCAAACUGGAGCUUACCAUUUGAGCUCAUGUGUGAUGCAUCUGAUUAUGCAGUAGGAGCAGUAUUAGGACAAAGAGUUGAUCGAAUUCCUCACGUUAUUUACUAUGCUAGUAUGACAUUGAAUGAUGCACAGUUGAAUUAUUCAACUACUGAAAAAGAAAUGCUAGCAGUAGUGUUUGCAUUAGAAAAAUUUCGAUCUUAUCUCAUUGGUUGUAAAAUAAUUAUAUUCACAGAUCAUGCUGCUCUUAAAUAUCUUCUCACAAAGAAAGAUGCAAAAGCUAGACUAAUUCGUUGGGUGUUACUUUUGCAGGAAUUUGACUUGGAAUUCAAAGAUAAAAAAGGGACAGAAAAUGUUGUGGCGGACCACCUCUCUCGUCUCCAUUUUGACACAAUUACAGAGCCAUUAAUAUUAAAUGAGUCAUUUCCAGAUGAACAAUUGAUGAAUGUGGAAGUAUUACCUUGGUAUGCUGAUAUAGUUAAUUAUCUUGUUACAGGUAAACUUCCAGAGCAUUGGACCAAGCAAGACAAGGCUAAAUUCUUUGCGGAAAUAAAGAAUUUCUUUUGGGAUGACCCAUAUUUGUUCAAGUAUUGUGCAGACCAAAUUGUUAGACGAUGUGUCCCUGAAAGUGAAAUUCAGAAUAUCCUUUCAUUCUGCCAUGCACAAGCUUGUGGAGGCCACUUCAGUGCUAAGAAAACCGCGACUAAAGUUUUACAAUGUGGUUUCUAUUGGCCAACUAUAUUUCGAGACGCUUACACUUUCUGUUCUUCAUGUGAUAGGUGUCAACGAAUGGGGAGCAUUACACGAAGGAACAUGAUGCCACUAAAUCCAAUUUUAGUGGUUGAGAUUUUUGACGUAUGGGGUAUCGACUUCAUGGGACCCUUUCCCCAUUCUUUUGGCCAUCAAUACAUAUUGGUUGGUGUUGACUACGUCUCGAAAUGGGUAGAAGCAAUUCCAUGCAGGACCAAUGAUCACAAAGUGGUGAUAGGAUUUUUGAAAAGCAACAUUGUUUCACGCUUUGGAUUCCCUCGAGCGAUAAUCAGUGAUGGUGGUGCCCACUUUUGUAACAAAGCAUUCAAAGCUCUUUUGACAAAGUAUUCAAUCACACACAAAGUGGCGACCCCGUAUCAUCCGCAAACCAGUGGCCAAGUUGAGAUCUCCAAUCGAGAAAUCAAGCACAUAUUAGAAAAAACGGUGAGGCCAGACAGAAAAGAUUGGUCAUUAAGACUUGAUGAUGCAUUAUGGGCAUAUAGAACGGCUUUCAAAACCCCGAUUGGGAUGUCACCCUACAGGCUAGUGUAUGGAAAAGCUUGCCACCUACCUGUGGAACUCGAGCAUCGUGCAUAUUGGGCCAUCAAGAAAUUCAACUUUGACAUGCAGCAAGCUAGCUCAGAAAGAAGAUUACAACUGGCAGAACUUGAAGAAAUUCGCAAUGAUGCAUAUGAAAAUGCCAAAAUUUACAAGCAGCGGAUGAAAGUCUUCCACGACAAGCAAAUUAUGAGAAAAUCGUUCACUCCAGGUCAGAAAGUGCUUUUAUUCAAUUCUCGCUUACACCUAUUCCCAGGUAAGUUACGCUCUCGUUGGUCUGGCCCAUUUAUUGUACAUACUGUUUUUCCACAUGGGGCAAUUGAAAUUAAAGACCCAAAGAACGGUGUCACGUUUAAAGUUAAUGGUCAAAGAUUAAAGCCAUAUCUAGAAUACCAACCACAUGGAGAAGACACCGAAAUAAAUUUGAGUGACCCACCAGAUUUGAAUUAAUUUUUUUUUCUUUUCGUUGAUUUGAUUUUGUUUUCUUUCUUUAUAUUAUUCUUUUGCUAAUUGAAAUUAUUUUUGCAUAAGUGUGUUUGUUUAACAAUUGAGUUUUCUCUUAUCAUUUUUAAUCAUGAGUACCUUACUUAGACCGUUCCUCCUGAACAUUCUUAAACCACUUCAACGUGUCAAAACUCAUCUCAAAAAGCAGAUUCAAUUUUGUAAAACACAACGCAUUUGGGCUCUACAACCACCAGAGUUAGUAGCCUAUGUUGAGGGUUUAGAACGCCAACUUAGAGACAUUGAGAGAAGUGUUUACGACAUCCAGUUGGAGCUUGAGGUAAAUUCAAUAAGAGGACGAUUUUAAUUUUCUUUGUGUGUUUUAAUUUGUUUUUCUGUUUGUGUGCUUUAGUUUGUUACCCCGGUGAAGUGGCGGAUAACGGUACUCCGUGACAAUCAAGUCGGUUAACUUCAGUUUCCCAUAAUAACUGACAUUCUGAGGCGAAAGUAUGGACAGAAACGAGAUUCUAGCGAAGCUUCACAAGCGAUUCCCUUCACUUCCUCAGAAUGCCCUCCUUACGAUCUAUAAAGCUCGAUCUGAACGCAUGCGAUUACUCAUGAGGAAUAACAUACCUGCUGACAUCCGUUGGUUAAUCGAGGCUAAAAUACGAUCGGCAGGUGAGUUACCUCCAAAAUUUAUUGCAUUCAUGCCUGGUUGUGGUAAAGGAAAUUAUGCAAGAAAACGACGAGCUCGAAGAAUUUCUGUUGCUUGUCAUAAGUGUGCCAGAAUGAGUUGCGAUAGAAACCCAUGUUCUUUAGGAAUGGUGUCUGAUAACAGGGAAGAUAAGAUUCAAUUCAUUAGGGAUGGCUUGAAUAAGGAGUCAUUGGAUGAUAUCCUUUUGUCUCUUGAAACGCAUCCCAGUGGAUAUGUGCAAGGAGCGAUUCUCCGGUUAUGGCCAUUAUUCCAGAAAGAGCAUGCACGAUAUAGUCUCGGGAAUCUGACUAUAAACGACCCUGUUUGCCAGUUUAUAAGAAAACUGGAUGGGAAGCCCAUCCUCGACCCAUAGAGGGCGUUCAAGCCGUUUCUGGACGUAAAACCAGAGGAAGAUGUGAGCCACAGUCGCAACUACGUGUAAAUAUCCUUUUACUUUCUGUUAUUUUAUUUCACUAUUGUUUUAUCGUUUGCAUUAUUGCCUUUAAUAAUUUUAUUACUGUUUGCUUUUUCCUUUUUACUGUUUUCUUUUUGACUCGCGAGCCACGUGCUUUACGCGUUAUUUGACACUGACAUAUUACCUCAUUCACAGCUGUGAUCCACUGUCACCAAGAUUCUUAAAUGUGAUUUACUUUUUGUCUAGCACUCACAAAUUAUUUUUGAGAAGUAUCACAAUGGCAGCCACUCCCAAUAGACAAUUCAAGAACAUUUGUGUGCUUUCUGGAUUUACCUAUGGAAAACAUAAAGAGUUCGUUGAGGCAGCCAUAGAUCUUGGUCGAAGCAUAGCAGCGAGAAAAUUACACUUGGUGUAUGGAGGAGGUAACCGAGGGUUAUCAAAAAUGGUCUCAGAAGCAGCUUUUAUCAGAGGAAGUCAAGUGUUAGGCAUCAUCCCAAGAGUCCUAAAACCAUUGGGCAGUUCGUCUGACUCAUCAACUGGAGAAGAGUUAGUCGUCUCAGGUAUGCAAGAAAGAAUAACUGAAAUGCUUAAUCAUGCUGAUGUUUUUAUUUUCCUUCCAGGAGAUCUUGCAACACUAGAGGCACUUAUGACACUAGCAUCUUGGGCCCAUCUGCACAUCCACCAGAAACCCAUCGGUUUGUUAAAUGUCAAUAACUUUUAUGAUGGCUUUAUCGCAUUUCUUAACCAUGCAAUAAAAAACUAUUUCAUUCCUUCUAAUGUAAAAAAACUUUUUAUUUGUGCUCACACUGCUAAUGAGCUACUUGAUCUGUUACAAGCUUAUAAACCGGAGCCAGACCCCUGGACCUUUGUGUUGGAGCGCCCAAAUAAUGAUGGUAACAGUAGCCGCAGUAAGAAGUACAAAUUAGAUUUAACUCUCCGCCUGUAAAUAUUUUCUUCUGUGUUGCACCACCCAGGUGAUGUCUUCUAAACUCUACUUCUUUCCUUUAAAACAUUGAGGACAAUGUUUCGUUCUGGUUGGGGGGAGGGAAUAGUCGACAAUUGUGGAAUCUUGGUUAAGUUUUUACUGAUUUUUUGUUGUAGAAACUAACUGUUGCUAACGUUUUAUGUUGAAGAUGGCUGAAUAUGGAGUGUAGUUACUUUAGAAACGCAUCUUCAUCGUUUAAAAAAAAAAAAAACAAAAACAAAAAAAAGAAAAAAAAAAAAGACAAAAAAAAAAGACAAAAAAAAAAAAAAAUCGUUUUCUUCCUCUUUCUCCUUUAUAAAUAUAUAGUUUCAAAUUUUUGAGUCGAAGAUGGCUGAAUAUGGAGUGUAGUGCCUCUAGAAACGCAUCUUCUUAAUUUAAAAAAAAAAAAUUCUUUUUCUAAUUAAUUUUUUUACAUCAUUUUCACAUUUCUGCAUGCAUAUUUUCCUUUCAUGUUUAGAAUAGGUUGGGGGGUAGAAUGUUGUUUAAAAAAAAAAAAAAAAAAAAAAUUUGUGUUAUUUGUUUUAAUAUUGGUUGACAUGAUUAAUUUCAAAUUUUAGUAUUUGUAUUAUCUUUGGUCUUAAGUGAUGUUACGCUAUGUUUGCUACUUUACAUGUUGAUGUCGGAGACAAAUAUGAGUUGCUUGAAAGAAUGAACAUGUCAUAAAUAAAUGCCAAGUGAGUUGUUGAGCCUAUUAUUUUCUUGGAGAGUAACCCUUUUGCCCAUUCUCUAUACAGCUUAGCAGUUUAUUAUUUUAUACACGAUCUCUAGAUUUCUUUUGAGUUAACCUUUAAAAAAAAAAAAUGGUAAAAUAAAAAAAAAAUGUGUGUUGCUACAUUGGGAGGCCCAUCUAACUAGUAGAUAUGGAUGAUUAUUUAGAGCCCUAAAAGACGAUGGAAAGGCCAUCUUUGAUCCGUUUGAGCCUUUCUAGCCAUCCCUUUUAUUAAAAAUCCAUAGUUAACCCUUUUGAGCCUUUAAAAAAAAAAAAAAAAAAAAAAAAAAAAAAAAAAAAAAAAAAAAAAAAAACCUUUUCUUUGUCAACUUAUCAUCUUGACCCACUCCGAUUUGGAGUAUUACCCGAUGUCUUAUAAGUUCCAUCACCUAUUUAUGUUUGAGAAAAUGUAAAUAAUUAUGUUGUUCAGUGACGUUAUGCCAAAUAAAAGCAAAAAGAAAAAAAAACAAAAACAAAAGUUGUUGUUUCAAAAGAAUAAAAAUAACAAUAAUAGGUGAAAUCCACCUUGCAAGUUCCAAAAAAAAAAAAAAAAAAAAAAAUUCUGCAUUUUUCUCAAACAUACACUUUGUUUUCCUUAUUUCCUUUCUUUGUUAGCCAUAUCCCUAGCCUACGUUACGUCCUAAUAAAAGUCCUUCUUGAUUUUAGGGAACUAUAGUUUGAAGUAGAAGCUAGUUAUAUGGGCUAAAAAGAUGUAGUGAUGCAUAAUAAAAAAAAAAGGAUAAAUAAAGUGGGUUGACUAGCAUUUUUUUGACUUGAGAUCAUAUUAUUUCUAAGCUGAGGGCAUAUUUAUUUCAUCUUAGUGAGAGCAUGUGAUAACACUUCUUUAUUAUUUUCUCUCUCAAUUACCAUUCAUUGGAGUGACUAUUUUUUAUUGGGUUUAAUUUAUUUGUGAGAGUGUCACUAUUUCCAGUGAGAUUUUUGGGUUUGACAUGUCAUUCUUGAAAGUAACUAUAACAAAGUCUACUAGGCUAAUUCAUGUGGAUGGUUGAUAUAGGUGUGAUGUUGCUUUAGACUUGAGAUAAUGCUUAUACUUUUAUUUGAUUGCUAUCAUCAAUCUGAUUGAAUAAACAUGAGUGUUUCUAUCAAAAAUAAAAAAAAAAAAAAAAAAAAUCAUUUUGAAUUUGAAUUUUGUUUUCGCUUUAUUUGCUAGGGACUAGCAAUAAGCUGGUUGGGGGGUGUGUUGAGUGUUAGAAAAUGCAUAUUUAUAAAGGAGAAAACCGUCAUUUUACAUUUCAAGUCUUAUUAACAACCCUUACUUUUAUGUAUUUAACCUUCUUGUGAUUUAAUUACAUGUGUUUUAUUUUAAUUAAGUAUUUUAUGUAUUUUAGGGGCAUUAUAGUCAUUUCACAAUAAAGGAGAGAUCAGAUGGCAAAACGGACAUCACUUUUGAAUUCAGGACGGUCGAAAACCUUAGGAGGGGCAUAAAAGGAAAAAUGGUACUAUUCACAUGUACGGUACUAUUCACGUAUACGGUACUGUAUAUGUUACUGUUCACGGCACUGUUCAUAUAGACGGAUCGAUGACGUGGCAUUGACCGAUGAUGUGGCAUUGACUGAUGAGGUGUCACGAUCCUGUUGGACUAAAAUUCUUAUGUACUGUUGAUGGUGACGUGGCAGCAUAUCAGUGGACGAAAAAUCUCGCGUACGGUGCAUGCAUCACACAGGAUUAUUUUCAACCAAACCGUGUUACUGUUCAUCCACGUGGUCAAACCGUGGACUGUUGACUGAUGACGUGGCGCAAUCCUGAGCGUCCAAACUGUUUUUAAUCCGAUGGCCAUGAUUUACUCCAUGUAUCUAUAAAAAGGGGGCCUCCCCCCCCUAAUUUGAUAGCUCUGAAUCCAUUUUUGGGAUUCAUUUUCUGUAAUUCCUUCUCCAUCUUGUAUUUUCUUCGUAUUUUAAUAAAUUCCCAUUUUGCCCCUAGUUCAAUUAUGAGUGGCUAAUUUUCUUUCAAGCUUGGGUUGAAGGUGAAGUCUCAACAUGUGUCAUGGGCUUAAUUUGGUAAAUUUAUUUUCUCUUCCCCUCUAGUUUUUGUGGAUGUUUUGACUUAUCGUCGACAAAUAAUACUGAUCUUGUCUAGAUACCGCCUUGGUUACACCGGCUCUCUAGUAUAAGGUUAUUAUUAUUUGGCACGAUAAGCCCUUAGCACCAUAUUGAUUAGAGCGUGGUUCAUGAGGUGUGGAUUCCCCCCUCAUGAUUUAAUUGGCAUUAAUACGGAUUAUUUAGCCCAUGAUGCAUGUUGAUACGGAUCCAGAUACCCAAGUACGUCAUUUCAAUAGAAUUCUCUUCAAUUUAUUCUCGCCAUUUUAAUUUAAGUUUUAGCAUAUUCCAAAUCAUUUCCACCACAAUUCCAACCGCCCAUUUACAAAAUUAAUUCUAUAUAUAAUUAAAAAUCCACCUCCUCGUGGGAUCGACACUCGUCACCAUUAGUCUACACUACAAUAGAUUCGUGCGCUUGCGAGUACAUUAAAAUUUGCACAACAGCGCGCGCGUGUGUGUGUGUGUGUGUCUCUCUCUCUCUCUCUCUCUCUCUCUCUCUCUCUCUCUCUCUCUCUCUCUCUCUAUAUAUAUAUAUAUAUAUAUAUAUAUAUAUAUCUUGUUUUCAUUUCAUCUUUAACUUUUUAAUGCGCUUUUGUUGCUUUGAAGAUACAUGAAAAUUAACUCCUACAAGAAGGGGGGGGGGGGGGGGGGUGGGGAACGGGGGAGGAUUUUAUUACAUGAGACUUUUUAGUUUUGUUUUGAGGGAAUGGGAGAUUUCUUGAAUGAAAUGGCUGUGAUGAUGAGCCAAACACAAACUAAUGUAAGCAUUCUUCAAUGCAUAUUUAUGUUUUCUAUAGAAUAAUUUGAGAAUUGUGUUUGGAAAUUCCUAGGCAUUAUUUAGCUUUUUCCAAGCUUUAGUUAUGGCUUUUACUUUGCUGGUUGGCAAAAGAAUGACGGUAUUUUGAUUUCUCCUAAUCAGAUUGCAAAUGGGUCAUUUAGUCACAAGGGCAACAUAUUUUAAUCUAUUUUUAUUUUUAUCCUCAGUGUGUUCAUGCUCUGAAAAGUAGUGAUUCAUGGUGCCUAGUUUUGGUCUUGUUCAAUGGCGAAUUACAUAUAAGUUCUAUUGUUGGGAAAUUGAUUGGUGAAGCAGACACGCAAUUAAAGUGAAAUUGAGAAAUAAUGAGACAGCAGAAUCACACAGGGACACCAGGAUUUAAGUGGUUCGGCUUUUAACCUAGAUUCACGGGUGAAAACAGAAGAAAAAUAUUUUACUAGUGAUAUGAGAAUUACAAGUAUUGUAAUAUUUUGUCUCACUAUCCAGAACCCCAAUGUACCCAAUCGCUUACUCACUAAUCUCUCAAGCCAAGAGUUUAUUAAAUUCUUAAUACUCUCAACUCCCUAAAUGUAGGAAAUGCUUCUCUCAAACUGGAUGUUGAAAUGAGGAGAAGCAUCCUUUAUAGCCAAAAAUUGGCUUCGGUUCAUGCCUAUUAUUUUUAUUUAUUUAUUAGUAUUUUAUUAUUAUUAUUUCCGCUGAGCGGCCCGCCACUUUCUUUUCUUCUUCUUCUUCUUAUUUCUUCUUUUUUUUUUCUUUUUCCUUUGCGGUUGAGCACUAGCAGUGCCCACUGCUUACUUUUUGACAUCUAUGUGGGCCCCACAAAAGUUGUUCUUGGAGGAAUUGAAUAACUGAAUUAUUCAAACCUGACUUAAUCUUCCAGCAGUGUUAUUGCUUGGUAUUUAUCUUUGUAUGCUUUGAUUGUAAAUUUGACAGGAAAAUGGUGAGGAGACCUUGGAGGAAUUGCAGAAUUUGUUUGAAUAGAUGUUUAAAGGAGACACCAAUGCUUUCGAGCCUAAACUUAUUCUGAUUAUUUCAUCUGUACUUAGAUUUGAACUAAGAAUUUUUUUGUGAUGGUAUGUUAGCUUUUAUAAAUUUCCUUUCUUUAAUAAAAUCUCACUUUGUUUUUAGCGGAAGUUAAUAAGAUCGGAUGGUGGAUUGUAUUGCUGUGUGUCAAAUGAAAUUUUAAACAACGUGCUUCUGGCUAGAGACCUCGAACCAUUUUUUAUGAUUUAGAAUGUUGUAACCAUUAGAAGCUUCCUUGUCAUAAACUGGUGGCUCAGAUUAUUGAAAUGUUCAUGAAAGCUAAUAAUCUGAUUUCCCAUUGUAUAUUAUCAGAUUCCCUUUUGUUGCAAUCUUGUGGUUGAGCAGGUCUCAAGAUUCUGACCUUUUUCACCCCGCUUUCUGACAGAAGAAUUUGCCUAUCAUUGUCAAGUGUUUGGCAAUUAGCCACCAUCUGCUGUAUUCAUUAUGAAAGCAUUGUAAAUUUGAUCCCUUAAGAAGGGGAGAAAUUGAUCAAGCUGAUUGGUUAUACUCAUUGUAUGCCACAAGUGCUUUAUCAAACCACAACAGGUAACACCCGUGCGAAGGGCGCAAGCCAAAAUUGAUAGCUGCACCAGUAUCAUCAAGAUACUCCUUUUCCGGUCCAUCUAUGUCUUACCGAUGGCAUUUUUACUAUUCAUCCUCUGUACUAUUUGUUUCUUUAGCAAAUUUCUUUCUGUAUUAUGAGUCUUAAUAAAAGUUUAAUUGUAGACAACUUUUUUGCCUUGAAAGUAUAUUUUAAACCUUUCAAACCCAUUAGCUCCAUUGGGAAACUUAUGACUUUAUGGAAAUAUUUGUUGCAUUUUGUCACUGAUGGUCAGUCCAUAAAAUUAGUUGACUGAUAGUGUCAAGCAGUUAGCAAUACAACUUUUUACCAAUGAUAUAACUCUUUUCAUUCUGUAUUUUGUUCGACACUUAAUUCGGUUCCAUUAUGUCAUUAUCUGUGCUUGAUUGAGUUGCAUGUUCAUGCACAAGAAUUUCCCAUCGCGGUGUUCCUAAGCUACUUUAUAAGACCUGGAUUUGUCUUUAACUAGGAUAUGGCUUUUUUUGAGUUGAAAAGCCUACUGUGAAAGUUAUCUGCUCAAAGCAAAAAAAAAAAAAAAAAAAUUCGUGGGAGGGAAAUUAAAUUUUGGCGAAGUUUGCUUUGGGGAUUUUGAAGAUAACUUGUAAAUUUGUUACACAUAUUGAGUGAUUCAAGGUUUUCAAUACAUUUCUUCCAAGGAAUCAGUUUUGUUUGGCUUCUCAAACUAUGCUUCUAAUCCAAUAUCUUAACUACGGCUGGCAAAAAGCUAUUCACUGUUAUAAUGGAUUGUUAUUGGAAAUAAUCAAAUAAAGCCUAUGAAGAAUUAGAAUAAAAGCUAUAUUUUGUCUUUGUGAAGGGAAUAUUUGACAACCAAUCCACCGAUAUUUUUUUCUAUUAAAACCUAUACUUAUUAUAGCCUCAAUCAUUUCGAGACAUACCGGAGAAAUCUAACUAAAAAGUUGAUAAAUUUUAAUUCAUUCUCCCGAUAGAACAACAAUCUUGAUUUUAUCACCUAAAAGAGUGAAAAUAUCAAUUUAGCCUUCAUUUUCAUUCAAUAAGGUGAGAGCAUAUUGUGGAUGCGGUGAUGGAUUUCUUUUUUUUUUUCUUUGUAUGGUUGUUUAUACAAAAACUUAGCAUAUAUACCAAAAACUUAGCACUGAAUGAUAAGAGCAUUGCCUUCUUAGGGCGGAAGUCGUGAGUUUGAGCCUUAUCCUCUUGGAAGUAAAUCAAAGACUUAUCAUUUUAAGUGAGGGGCAAAUUAAAGUUUAUUCUAAAGACUAAAAUGUUAUAUGAAACAACUUUAGCCAUUUACAACUAUUAAUUGUCUGCUACUAUUUUCUUUUUUUAAUUCUAAAGUCUUUAUUACUCUUUCUCAUAUUAGUAGUUAGUAGACAUUCUAAAUUUUCUUUUAACAUUUUAUUCUAACAUUUUUUCCCCGAAAACGACAAUGGCAAGCUAAUUUGACCUAUCUUGACUGACUGAAUUUGGAUAACUUGUGUUACGCUCUCUCUCGUAAUUCAUAAAGACGACCACUUUGAUUUGCACUAUCCUUUCUGUGUCAUUGUGCUCACGUUGCAAGGGAUUCGUCACGCCCGCAGUUGUCAAAUUAAAGUUACAUUACAUUUACAUACGUUAAAGACUUUAUUUGAAUAUUCUCCAUCGUCUUUAUUGACCCUUUUUUAUCUUUUAUUUUUCCUUGUGUCGAAAGAAUCCUUCACUGAUUGGAAUAUCCAUGAUGACUGGUUGCAAUUGGAAGAGUCCCUGAAAUUCAUCUUUCAUUCGAUCUUAAAUACUUUCUCCGAACAAUUAGAAUACAUUAAGAUUUUAUGAACUUGCUUAGUAGAUCAUUCAACUGCUUAAUUGGUGCAGUUAAUUAAUUGAUUAUCUUCCCAGAAACACAUUAAAGACUCUCACGGGGAUUCAUUAAACCUUUUCGCUGGGUCAAUUCUACAAGCAUCAGACGUAAAAGCUUCAUGAUAAGAGCACAAGCCUAUCGUCUUCAAAAGCUCUUGGAAAAAGCUAGCUAUUUUCUUUAUUGUCAUUUCCAUCCAUUUUAACCCUUUCUUUUUCAUUUUGUACAAUUUUGACUUGACUCUGAAAUAGAGAACAAUGAUAUUUAGACAGAAAAAUUUAAUAGAAUGUUUAAAAAUAAAAUAAAAUUAGUCUCGGUUUAUCUUGUACUAGUUUUACCUUAUUGAUGUCAAUGAUUUUCUAAGAAAAAAAGAAACUUCGUUAAUUUUACCUUUGUUUCAUGAUGAGAUUAGUGCUGGAGCCGUCAUGGACUCAUUGCUAUGCAGAAUUCAAAAAUCAAGCUUAAACAGUUUUGGUGAAAUUUCUAUAUUGAAAUUCUUGUUAAUAAAUCAUUCACACUUUAAUGAAAGUAUUAAUAGCAGCCGUGUAACUCACUAACUCCCUAUUAAUUAAUUUUUAUAAAUUGCUACCGGUAACUCCGUAUUAAUUAAUUUAUCACGCGUUGUAUAUACAGAGUAGCGUAUGUUGAGAAUCAAAUAAAACGACAUUGAAUGAAGUUUUCAAAGACAGAAUCUGCACUUGUCAAAGGGGUAAUCUACACUUGUCAAAGACAAGAUCCGCGCCGAACGGAUUGACACAUUUCCUUCCGUAUUCACAUAUGUAAUCUUUGAAAAAAUGUAGCCUCUGCAUUUAUAAAUAACUCUCAAUGUAUAAUGUUUUUUUAAGAAAUGAAAACACGUUUCUUCAUGGUAUCAGAGCCAUGAAUACGCUCAACUUUCUUCAAGUUCCGCUGCUCUGUUUGUAACAAAAACAGAGGAAACCAAAUUCCUCCCACAACCAUUUUUCCCACCAUUUUCUUUCUUAAACCCAUUCUUCCCAUUACAGAUAUCCAUGCCGAUCAAGAAACAAGCCACCCAUACGUAAAAAACUUGAGUUUACAAAUUUAUCAACAAUCCCAUCAAUUUUCCAAGAGUGUGUUCUUCAAAAACCAAGAACACCAUCAAAUUUUUCAGUUUUCAGUGAGGAAACUGUAAAAAUUUCACAUUUAAACACAUUUGCACGCCCUCACACGCGCCACCCGAAGCCACGGCCAGUCAACCACGCGCCUCUGUCAUUAUUCACGCGCUAUCACGCGCUCCAGAGGUUGAAGAAGACGUCAACCGACAUGUCGUUUUUAUCUCAGAAGUGCAGCAGUAAAAAUCGACUUGUCGUUUUUUUGUUAUAUAAACACCGACAGGUCGUUUUGAAAUUUGAGAUAAAACGACGUGACGUUUACUCUCCAGAAGUGCAGCAGGAUUUAAACGACAUGUCGUUUAUAUUCCACCAUAACCGACAUGUCGGUUGGUCAAGCAGUGGCCAAACGACUUGUCGUUUUGUUAUCUAAAAAGGUUUUUUUUUUCUUCUUUCAAUCUAGACAAAAAAAAAAAAAAUACAAAAAAAAGAAAAAAAAAGAAAAGAAAAGAAAAAAAAGAAAAAGAAAAAAAACAAAAAAAUGGAGAAAACUCCAACUGAAUCUAUUCAUGUUGUCAUUCAAUCUGUUCAAUCUGAUGGAGUAUUUAAUGCUGGAAUUAUCCUCACUGAGACAAACUAUGAUGUUUGGUCUCAAAUAAUGGAGAUGCAUCUUGCAGAAAGAGAAAAACUCUCAUAUAUUCGUAGCAGCACAAAGCCAUCUGAGGAAUUUUCAAAGGAAUAUGAGAAAUGGUAUAGUGAGAACCAAAAAGUAAAAAGAUGGUUACUAAUAUCCAUGUCUCCGGAGAUCAUGAAGCGAUAUUUACGAAUUCCUACAGCCUACGAAAUCUGGGAUGCAUUAUCAAAAGCCUUCUAUGAUGGAAGCGAUGAAUUACAAGUUUUCACUCUAAAGCAGAAGGCAUUCUCUACCAAGCAAAAUGGACAACCACUCUCUAAAUUCUAUGGAGAAUUGAUCGAAAUAUUUCGAGAACUUGAUCACCGAGAUAAAGUGGUCAUGAAGGAUCCAGAAGAUGUUGUAAUAUACAGAAGGUCUGUUGAAAGAUUGAGAGUGCACAUUUUUCUUGCUGGGCUAGAUGAAGAAUUUGACCAAGUUCGUGGAGAAAUUCUACGAAAAGAUAUUAUCCCAGACUUAGAAGAAUGUUAUUCUCUGAUCCGAAGAGAAGAUAUACGGCAAAGCAAACUAAACAAGAAGGUCGACUCAGAAACGUCUACUAUGAUAGCACGACAGCAACCUCAAAGGAAGUUUGUUGACAAGUCAUCACUCCAUUGCACUCAUUGUAGAAAGAAGGGUCAUACAAAAGAACAAUGUUUUGAAAUCAUUGGAUAUCCUGACUGGUGGGAUACUCGAAAGAAGAACACCAAGCAUGGAUCAAAUACUGCAGUAGCUGAAUCCACAUCCACUACAGAUCUUAGAAAAGAAUCUUCAGUGCAAAUCGCAACCUCUGUCAGUCCAGGUAAAGCCCUUAAAACUCUUACACCUGUUAUUAAUAGUACAUGGAUAAUUGAUUCUGGGGCAACUGAUCAUAUGACUUUUGAUUCUCGACAAGUUUCUCAAUUGAAACCAUCUUCACAAAAACAUAUUUCCACUGCAAAUGGAACCACAACCUCAGUUAUUGGGGAAGGAUCUUUACGACUCACAAAUGAAUUAAAUUUAGACACUGUGUUAAUUGUUCCAUCUUUAGAUUAUAAUCUUUUAUCUGUGUCUCAAUUAACCACUUACUUAUCAUGUGUUGUAAUUUUUUGGCCUGAUCAUUGUGUGUUUAAGGACAUCCAAACGAAGCAAACGAUUGGUUAUGGUAUUAGACGAGGCAACUUGUACUACUUGGAGAUGUCAUCAACAAACACUAGAAAGCUAAGCCCCGCACUAGUCGCAGAUAGUUUCAUAAAAAAAAGGAAAUCAGAAAUUUGGUUAUGGCAUAGACGUUUAGGGCAUGUGUCGUUUGGUUACUUAAAAAAAUUAUUUCCUAGUUUGUUUAUGAAAUUUGAUGUUUGUAACUUUAAAUGUGAUGUUUGUGAACUUUCAAAAAGCCAUCGAACUACUUUUCCAUUGUCCUUAAAUAAAAAUCCAGUUCCUUUCAUGGUAGUACAUUCUGAUGUAUGGGGGCCAUCUAAAGUUUCUACAAUUGGAGGUGCUCGUUGGUUUGUUACAUUUAUUGAUGAUUGUAGCAGAAUGACAUGGAUUUUUCUGAUGAAAUCGAAAGACGAAGUAAACUCUUUAUUUCAAAGAUUUCAUAAGAUGGUGACAACUCAAUUUCAGACACAAAUUCAAGUUCUACAUACUGAUAAUGGAGGCGAGUAUAUGAGCACUGCAAUUCAACAGUUUCUGAAAUCACAAGGAUCUGUCCAUCAAACCACUUGUGUGGGGACACCCCAACAAAAUGGCGUUGCUGAACGAAAAAACAGACAUUUACUAGAAGUUGUUCGAGCAUCACUAAUCCAAGCCCACAUGCCAUUAUCUUAUUGGGGAGAAGCACUAGCAUCCGAAGCAUACUUGAUCAAUCGAACACCUUCAAGCUCCCUUGGAUUCCAGACUCCUUUCCAAGUUCUGAAUGAUGCAAUUAUGUCACAAAAUGUGCCGAAUCUGCCCCUACAUGUGUUUGGUUGUGUUGCCUUCGUUUAUUUGCGGCAACAAGACAAAUUAUCUCCUUGAGCGCUACGUUGUGUGUUUGUAGGGUAUGCCUUACAUCAAAAGGGAUACCGAUGCUAUCAUCCACCAUCAAGAAAAAUAUACAUCACCAUGGAUGUCGUUUUUCAUGAAGAUAUCAUGUACUACUUGUCAGAGUCUGAAUUUCAGGGGGAGUAUAAUGAAGAGGAAAUUCAUACUCUUACAUAUCUUCCACCUGAAGAAAGUCAAUCUUCCAUUGAGAUAGUAAACCUUCAAGAUACUGGAAAAGAAAAUGGUGAUGAUUCUCAGGCUGAGAUAAGUGAAGACACAUUUGGGGAGCACAAUAACUUAGACACAACUGCAAUCGAGAAUGAGUCACAUGAAGAAAUACCUAACCAAUCGUCUGCAGAGGAUGUUCCUACCACAAGUCCAAUCAGAAGAAUUCUUCCCCAGCGUCAAAAUAGAGGUAUACCUAAACCCACAUAUGAGCCUGACUUCUCUAGCAGAGUCAAAUACCCUAUGAGUCAUUUUGUGUCUAACCAUCGCUUGUCAGAAUCAAAUUAGUCAUUUGUGAAUCAAUUAUCUGUUGUAUCUAUUCCUAACAGUGUGCAGGAAGCUUCCUAACACAACUGCAAUCGAGAAUGAGUCACAUGAAGAAAUACCUAACCAAUCGUCUGCAGAGGAUGUUCCUACCACAAGUCCAAUCAGAAGAAUUCUUCCCUAGCGUCAAAAUAGAGGUAUCCCUAAACCCACAUAUGAGCCUGACUUCUCUAGCAGAGUCAAAUACCCUAUGAGUCAUUUUGUGUCUAACCAUCGCUUGUCAGAAUCAAAUCAGUCAUUUGUGAAUCAAUUAUCUGUUGUAUCUAUUCCUAACAGUGUGCAGGAAGCUUUAAAAGACCCAAAGUGGAAAGCGGCUAUGAAUGAUGAAAUGAGAUCUCUUCAGAAAAAUCAAACAUGGGAACUAGUUGAUCUUCCACCAGGAAAGAAACCAGUGGGUUGUCGAUGGAUUUACACUAUAAAAUACAAAGCAGAUGGCUCUAUUGAACGAUACAAAGCAAGACUCGUAGCUAAGGGUUACACCCAAACCUACGGGAUUGAUUAUACUGAUACGUUUGCACCGGUAGCAAAAAUUAAUACUAUUUGUAUCUUAUUAUCAUUAGCAGUCAACUUGGAUUGGCCAGUGCAACAGUUCGAUGUAAAGAAUGCUUUCCUCCAUGGAGACCUGUCUGAAGAAAUUUAUAUGGAUCUGCCACCAGGAUGCAGUAGACCAGAACGACUCAAUUAGAAAGUAUGCAAAUUGAAGAAAUCAUUGUAUGGGUUGAAGCAAUCCCCAAGAGCAUGGUUCGGGAAAUUCACAAAGGUUAUGGUUCGUUUUGGGUAUAACCAAAGCAAUUCAGAUCAUACCUUAUUCAUUAAAAAACGACAAGGUAAAAUCACUGCCCUUAUUGUCUAUGUGGAUGAUAUGGUAGUUACAGGCAACGACGAGGAAGAAACAGAGGCUCUUCAGAAGUACUUGUCAAGAGAGUUUGAGAUGAAGGAUUUAGGUGCCUUAAAAUACUUUCUUGGAAUUGAGGUUUCUCGAUCUAAGGGAGGAAUCUUUCUGUCUCAAAGGAAAUAUGCCUUAGAUCUAUUGCAUGAAACGGGAAUGACAGCUUGUCAGCCUAUUGACACCCCAAUAGAAGAAGGACUGAAGUUUUGUAUUACUUCAGACCAAGUUCCAAUAGACAAAGGAAGAUAUCAAAGGCUGAUUGGAAGAUUGAUGUACUUGUCCCAUACAAGGCCAGAUCUUGCUUAUGUAUUGAGUGUUGUAAGUCAGUUUAUGCAUAAUCCCAGAGAACAACACAUGAAAGCAGUAAUGCGGAUCCUGAGGUACCUGAAGACAAAUCCAGGAAAAGGAAUCCUAUUUUCCAAAAAUGAAGAUUACAGCAACAUAGAAGUUUAUACUGAUGCAGAUUGGGCCGGGUCAGUUAGUGAUAGACGCUCUACUUCACACUUUACCUUUGUGGGAGGCAACCUUGUCACAUGGAGAAGCAAGAAACAACAUGUCGUUGCCCGUUCGAGCGCUGAAGCAGAAUAUCGAGGCAUGGCCCUUGGGAUAUGUGAAGGGCUAUGGAUAAGUUUUAUCUUAAACGAUUUGGGCUAUCCAUCACAACAACCAAUACAACUAUACUGUGACAACAAAGCUGCACGAGAUAUUGCUCAUAACCCAGUUCAACACGAUCGAACAAAACAUGUGGAGGUAGAUAGAUUUUUCAUCAAGGAGAAAUUAGAUGAAAAAAUCUUAGAACUGCCGAAAAUUCGAUCAGAAGAUCAACUUGCAGAUAUUUUAACGAAGGCCAUUUCAAGCAGGGCAUUUACAAAAUUCCUAGACAAGUUGGGUAUGCAAGACAUCUAUGCACCAACUUGAGGGAGAGUGUUGAGAAUCAAAUAAAACGGCAUUGAAUGAAGCUUUCAAAGACAGAAUCUGCACUUGUCAAAGGGGUAAUCUGCACUUGUCAAAGACAAGAUCCGCGCCGAACGGAUUGACACAUUUCCUUCCGUAUUCACAUAUGUAAUCUUUGAAAAAAUGUAGCCUCUGCAUUUAUAAAUAACUCUCAAUGUAUAAUGUUUUUUUAAGAAAUGAAAACACGUUUCUUCAGCGUAAUGGGAUUUUUUUUUUUAAUGUUGAUCUUUUACUCAAUUAAUUAAUUAAACAUUUAUAAAUGAUCACUAAGUAUUCAUGAGUAUGUGGCACAUGAGCUUAAACAUGAAUCAAUAUUUGCUAGUGCAUUGGUGGUUAGCACAAAUAACUUCGAUGAUAGAGAGUGACUGGGAAGCAUUAAGGGGAUGGAUCCUUUAAUGACCUGAUUUUUAAGCAAAUUUCACUUAUAUGUUUAUUGGUUAAUCAAGUAAGUAAUAAAAAUAGUUAAAUUUUAAUCAUACAUUAAUAUUAAAAGGCAAGUUAUAUAAGAUCUUUAAACGUUCAAAAGAGAUCAAAUCAAAAGAGGACUUAAAUUUGAGAAUAACUCUUGUAAAAUUUAAGUUUUAUGUGCUCAUGAAAGUACUUGUUAUUAAAGGUAUCUCUUGAAUAUUUAAUGGUUUAACAAAUUAUGUUCUUUAUAGACAGUUUGUAAAUUACUCUCGUCACUGCCACCAUGACUUGUAUUGUUGUUGUGAGCAGUUUAAUGGAAUGCAAUAUCAAUUUACUUGUUAGAAAAAAAAUCGAUUAUAAAUACUAAUUUGACUUUAUUGUGCUCUAGAGCAAAAUACAAAGUGGUUAUUUAGUGAUUAUUAGUUUAACUUACAAUGAUAGAUAUAUCUUAAAUAUACAUAUUAAGAUAUAUAUAUACACACACAUAGAUGUGCGUGCGUGCGUGUGUGCGUGCGCUUGUGCCAAGAGACAAACAAAUAUACGAUGAAUAAAGAUUUCCAAACCUAAAGACUUCAAAUUAAUGGUGAAACAUCUUUGCAAAUUAAACUAAGAAAAAUUGAAAAAGUAUUUUAUCAUUUUAUGCAUGGAAUUCCACGUCCAUGCAUGCAUGUACCCAACAAAUGCACUUGUAAUUUAGUAUGCAUAUGGUACACACAAAAUGUUGUCUUGGAAAAGUCUCAAUGGAUGACACGUGAUCAUGUCAUUGUACGUACACGCACAACGAAUAAUCCUUGCGACGACUUGCAUAAAACAAAAAAGGAGAUGUCUCUCUUUGUCCCUGUAGUUUAUGUACCCAUGGAGGAGUCAAUAUAUUUUUAGAAAUUCACUCUAAAAAAAAUAUAAAUUCUAUAUUCUUUUUUGGUUAAAAUCUACCUAAUUAUUUUCUAUUUUCCAUCCGUUAUAUAUUAAAUUAGUUUUAAUUUUAAAUUUUAUCAUAUAAAAAUUCUGUUUUAGCUUUAAAAAUUUAUGUCCAACAACUAAGAAAGUAAGUAAAGAGAUGUUCUGGAUAAUCUUUUAAAAUAUAAUAUUGACUAAACUGGAUAAUUGACUCAAAUUACUCAAUGACGAGCCAAAAGUGGAUUGGUUAUCCACUUUUGUACGGCUUUGAAUGACUUUAUUUUCUACAUACUCCGCAUCAGUCGUUGUGACGACGUAAUUACGAAAACAACUAGAAGCUGGCCAAGACGACGGGCAAGCUGAGAACAUAUUCGUAGGCAUUUUCCCUUCAUUUACACCAAAUCUAAAGUUCUGAACUGAAUGAAAGAGGAAGCCAACUUGAAUUACAUUUUUUUCCAGCAUUUUUUGGUCGAACGAACCAUUUCACUUGGAAUCAUAAUGAGUCGUUGCAAGGAAAUGUGUUAUUUUGAUCAUUACUUUGUUUAAUAUUCUUGUUUGCGGUAUUUUAAUUUGAGAGAUAUAUAAGUCUCAAAGGAAUGUCGGAUUCCGUGCUCACAUGAUGAGCUAUAUAAUAUAUGUUGGUUUUACUUAAGGUUGUUGUAAUUAGUAGUUUAAAAAAAAGUACUAGCACAACUCUAAUAAUGGAUAAAAAUUCCUAAUUAAUUUGAAUUCAUCUCUCAUUUGUCAUUUAAAAAAGAAAAAAGGAAAAAAAAAGAUUCAAUAAUGUUCUUAUUGAUCAACAUAGUAUUUGACACUUUUGUCUACCCAGAAACAAAGACUAACGACAAUAUGCUUUAAACGUUUUGAUGGUUUAGUUCUACCAACUUCAACGUAAAAUCACAGAUUGAGCACAUAAGUCAAUAAGUCAUGACCAUCAUUUUCAAAAUUCUCAAAUAUAGUCCAAUUUCUCUAUAAUCAUAAUAUUGAGGUAAGUUAAUUUUAUUAAUAUGAGAAUGUUAUAAUUAACUUAGUAAAGAUAUAGUUACAUAAAUUAUCGUUUUCACUUAGUUAUCCUUUGUGCAUUUAAAUUAGAGGUAAAAUAUUUACUAUAUUAAUAAUUAAUUACUGGAUUAUGUCAGAAAUUGAUAUUAAAGGUAGGCUUAAUUAAAAAAAAAAGUCUAUACUUUUUUGCAAUAGCCAAAUAAUAUUAUUAUGCGGGGACAAAUUCUUUUUAGACAAGACUUAAAAAAAUUAUAACUUAUUAUAAUUUAGAGUAUAUCCUUAUUUAUAACUAACUUAAAUUGAGAUUAAAUCUUUUUAUAAUUAAAUAAAAAUUAUUUCUAUAUAAAGUAUGACUACAUAGGAGAAAUAUUUUAUUGUAUAUAGCUAUUUCUUUCUCUGUUAUUUCUAUCCACUUCAUGAGCACUGUCUUAGUCUUUUCCCUUUCCUGUAACAAUCUUGGUUUAACUAUGAACUAAAUGUUUUUUUUUCAAUCAUUAAUUAAUAUUAGGUAGGUGCAUCUACCAACACGGUUGCAACUAAUUACCCACUAUAAAAUUUUAUUCUCAAUCCCCCAUGGAAAAGUGUGCAUGCCUAUAUAUAAUCGGACUUUAUUAUCAGUGUUAUGGAUAAAGGAAUUAUUAAUUUUAAAUUAAUAAUUAUUUUAAUCAAUUUGGCAAUAUAUAUAUUAUCCUUGAUUAAUUUAUAUGAGUGAAUAUCAAGUGUAACGUAAAAUAUUAUUUGUGUUGCACAUGCGGACAAAAGAAUGCAAAGAUUCCUUCAACAAGAUUCAAAGUAUGAUAUAGAAAAGAAUUUAAAAUUAAAAAAAAAAGUAAAAUAGAAAGUUGAAUUUAACAAGAUUCAUGUACAGGAAGAAAAAGAAUUAAUAAAGUGAUGAAAAAUUGGUAAUCGUGGCAAGUAAUCUUAUUCAUGUACGCGGAUGAGCCUUUUUCUUUUCCCAUUAUGAGAAAAUCUCAAGUACAUAAAACGUAUUAUAACCAUUUAGUGAAAUUAGUUAUGACAUACGCAUUCUGAUUUUAUUAUACUAUAAUUAUCUUCUUCUUCUUCUUUUUCCAACUUAAAUGUACACGUACGUGAUCAAUGACUAUUGAUUAUGUAGAGGAGUUUGUCAUUUUAUUGAAACUAUCAAUACCCUUAAACGAUUGAACCUUCAGUACCUUAGUAGUUGACUGUGAAUGCCAUUUUAUUCCACCCCACUGGAAUUGUUAAAUGUUACUUGCUUUCCACAGACAUCUUGAUUACGUUUGUGUGCUUAUGUUAUAAGGGCUUCGUCAAGAAGCUCAUUGCCAUUAUUACGAAAUUAAAUAGACUACGAUUGUUGGGAUCAGGCUACGGUACCACAAUGGUACCGUGACACAUCAUUUGUCUUUUAUGGCUCCAAUAUUAUAAAUUUUCAUAUAACCCCCUUUUAUUCGUUUUUAUUUAAACUUUAAUUCACAAAUAUUAAGUUAAUAUCUAUUACAUCCACAUGGACAUUUUAGUUAGCACCUUAUACUAUUUAUUAUUUACAAAUUCUUAUUAUAUAUUGCACUUAUAUCACAAUACCCCCUCUGUGAACCAAAAUGCCCAUGCCGAACCCACAACCCGACCCGGAUGCUAUUUCCAUUUCUGGCCACUUCACCGGCCAAGGUUGGUACCGAUCGGAAGAUCGUGCGAUGCCGGUCAUCUCCAUGCCAAUCUUGUCGCCGAAAAGCGUUCGGAAACCUCCCGAUUGAAGCCGUGAAAAGCCGCAGAACCGCCGCUUCAAUUCGCCGCGAUUUCUCCGGUUUCCGGUGAUGCUAUCACUUGAGUUUUGCUCCCCACGAUUCCCUCUAUAUUUUCCGACCAAUCACAGCCACCGAGGGGAGCCGAUUUGCCGUUGAUCGGUCAUUGAAGGAUUCACGGCUUUGGGAGCUCGAUCCGGCGCCAUCACCACGCGUGAGAGGUCACCACCAUCACCGUUGGACUCAGCUCGGCCAAAAGUGUCUAACUGGAGUUUCCCGUCGCCGUCAAUUGAAAUCCGGUCACCGUUGGUCGGCAUGGGUAUUUCGGUAAUGUUCACAUGGAUGCAGUUGAAAUUAGUUUAAUAUUUGUAAAGUAAAGUUUAAAUAAAAAAGAGUGAAAGGGGUUAUAUGAUAAUUUGCCACAAAAGACAAAAGGAAGUGGCAUGGUGCCACUGUGGUACUGCAGGCUGAUCCCGAUUGUUGACCUAAUUUGAAAAUUCCUCCAUUGUUUAUUAUUUUUCCCUUUUUAAUUUAUCAAUAUCAGUCAUAUCAAGUCAUUCUAUUAAUCAAAAACCUUGGGGAAGACGAAAUAUAUAUUAACUUACUGUCUUUUCUCAAUAACUUUUUAGGUGAGAUUAGUUUAAUAAAUUACAUGAUAAAUAAUACUCUUGCUUGAGUCUAUAUAUAAUUAUAUAUGAUAUAAAAUUAAGAUUCUUUUUUUUUUGUCGUAAUACAUAGAAUUGUUCGUACUAUUAUUAUAACAAAAUAAUUAAAAUUUAUGAGUUGAAGUUGUCAGAAAAAUAAACUUAUUUCCAAUGAAUGGCAUUUGGAGGAACAAAAUCAAUCCGGAAGUUUUUUUACGCCGAAAAAAAUCAAUUAACAUUAAUGACGUCCAAAUGUCCAAAUAUAAUGAGAAAUUGAAUUCUUCAAAACCUUGCUGUUUCUUCAUAUUUCUUAACAAAACCUAAUCAGUUGGUAAAUUUUGAUAUAAUUAUUAUCUAUUAUUAAUAAUUAGGUGGACCUAAACGUUCCCAAUACAUUAAAACAAUCGAUCAUCUACAUUAUUCUACAUUAAUCUUUUUUUCUUUUUUUUCCUUAUGAAAAAGCAAUUAAAUUAAUAAGUAGAAAUUUCUUUACAUUUUCGCCGGAGAAUCAGACUCAAAUUCAAAUACAACGACUCAAGCUAGCGCAAAAGCUUAUAAAUAGAGGAGAGCAAAAGUAAAGCCCCGUUCCAGUUCUCUUUCAGAGGCUACGGAUUUGAGAGAUUAAAGAACAUCAAUCGAACAGUAAGACUCCGUACUCUGUGACGCAAAGUUGCAAAAACUUUUAGGUAAAUUUUUUUGGAUUAAUUUUUUAAUUUUCGAGAAUAAAGAGACAGAGAGAGAGAAAAGAGAUGGGAUUAUGUCUGUCUGGGAGUGAUGUGAGGGGAGGGAAACAAGCCGUAGGUGGGGCCCAUCUCCGGCCCACCAGCGCGGCUGAUCAGAACAAUGUCUCUGGUCAAAACGACGCCGUUGAUUUCUUCUUCAAAUCUCGCGGCCUUCAUGCCCUUUUCACCCAAAUCGAGGUAUAUGUGUAUACCUGAAUUUAUGAGUCUUUCGCUGCCACUAUUAAUAAACUAUUUUCAGUUAAUUAAUUAAUUAAAAAUUUAUGAUUAGUUUAUGUUUUUUAAUUAAUUUAUAAUUUUUUAUUUUAAUUUUUUAAAUCUGAUUUUGUUCAUGUCUGUAAUUGUGAUGGAUUCUCAAAUGAUUACUCGUUUGAAAAUCUAUUUCCAAAUUAUGUUUGCUAUUAUUAUUUAUUUAAUGACUUGUCUGUGUAACAUCUAACAACUUAAAUCAUUUAUAUUUGAUAAAAGUUAUUUGAUAAUUUGAACAUAGAGAGUAGAUUCCUAUUUAAGAAUCAACCGCAAUCCCAAACAUGCUUUUUUGCUUUUUUUUAAAUAAUGUAAGAGGAGUAUUUGAAAUUUUGGAGGGCGAAUAUUUUACUUGAUAGAAAAAACAUAACAUAGCAGGAUAUAUUAGACAAGACCAAGCCAAACAUAUUAGGCUAUACAAACAUAACAUAGCAGAAAUUGAUAAUGGUACAUUACAUAUGUUAGGAUAUAGCAGUUUUAGAUGAUGGUAAAUUACAUAUGUUAAGAUAGAGUGGUUUGUAACUAACUUUUGAUGGCUUAAUGAAUUGAUUGAAUUUGUAUUUAGAUUCUAUCAAUGAUCUCAUAUUCUUCCCAUCCAUGUCUUUCGAUUUUUAUUAUUCCCUCUACCCACUUGUUUCACAAUUUGUUUGUCUGAUGGCCUAAAACUCCAAUUUCUGUACAUGAACAUGUGCUGAAUGUCUACUACAAUGAACAUGUGCUGAAUGUCAACUUUUACUACUACACCAGCAAUCUAACACAUGGCUCACGUGCACACUAGACAAGUCUGAUUCAAACAUCUUUAAAGUGUUGUAUUAAUAACUCUCUGAAACUGGGUUUGAGUAAUCAAGAAAAGCCAAAAUGUAGAACAAUGACAAUAAAAAAUGAAGACCCUCUUACAGUCUUUAACUUGAUAGAAAAAACACGAGCUGCAUACCAUGUCUCACAAAUUUCAAAGAAAAUUGGCCUCAUUCCUGAUGCUGCGCAGAAGGUUGGCCUGAAUCAUCUUUAAGAAAGCUCAUUUAUUACAUUAAUACAUUAUAUCAGUGAGAUGAUGCUACUUUAAUGAAACUCAUGUCUCAAGUUAGGAACAGCUACAUGGGCAUUUCAUCGAACAGUUGAUAUGCUCAGUAGAUAAUCGAAGUUUCCUGGAAGUUGCAAGUGCUGCCGGCAUUUUCAAAAUUGGAAAACCAUUCAAAGGUUUUCAAUAGUUAGUUUGAUAUUACACGUGUGAUAAUCUUGUGAUGAUGAUGAUUUUAUGUAUCUGAUUAUAAGCUAAGCUAAGCUAGUGGAUUUGUAAGUAAGCACACGGCAAAGUAUUUAAUCUUCUUAUUGUCGCAUUCUUCUAAUCAAUUAGCUUUCACCAACAAAAAUAAUUAAUAAUAAUGUAAAUGGAGGAACUUGGGAUCAUUAAUACCAGUAAACUACAACUUCACCUAGGCUUCAGGGAGGAUCCACAUGUUGUCUACAUUGAGCAUUUGACCAAUAAACUUUUAUUUUUCCAUAAUUUUCUAUAUAAAAUUAUGUAUUUUCAUGAAAUUACAUAAUUUCUUAUAUAAUUGUCUCCAAAAAAUACCAAUAGGUGCACGAACACAAAUAUGAUGCACACAUCUCUUUAAUUAAUUUAGGGCUUAAAGAGAUUUUAAGAUGACUACAAAUUGAAUAUGGCAGAUCUUGGACACCAUCCAUAAGAAAUAAAACUAGUCUCAAAUUGGAUUUCUGAGUACUCAAACAAAGCUAAAAGAAAGAUAAAGAAUGAAAACUGAAACAAAAAAAUCCUCUCACCAACACCAUAUGACUCUUAAUAUAUAGAAAGAACUCGAGCUCGAGCCUUAUCCAAAAUGCUGCACAAGUAGCAUGAGUCGUCUUCAUAAGUUUGGAGACUCUGUAGACAAAGAGUAAAAACACAUUGAAGGUGCAGUUUUGACAUAAUUAAAUUGCACAAAUUAACCUCUAUUAAGGACACAUAAAUCCUUCAAUUUUCUCUGUAAGCAAUUAAUUUCAUUUUUUAUUCUUUUAUUUUUCGCUAUGUCUAUAUAACAACUAAUCCUCAACGUAAAAACAGAGCAGAGUAGUUAUAUUUAAAAAAGAUGUACCAAUAUGAUUUAACAAACAAUUCAACAUAAAUAAAACAUUUUUAGUCAGUAAAAUAGAAUCAAAUCAAAACCUCCCGUUUAUCUUACCACUGUUUUUCGCAUCUUUUUCCUUUUCAUUCGCCUCGGCGGACUUCUCAUUCUCUUUUUCCUCCCCUUCCUAAUCAGAUUUAAAAUGAAUUUAUAAAAAAAUUAAUAUGUAUUUUUUUCUUUUUACUUUUUUAUAUAUAUCUGUUAUUAAAUCAGUAAUUUUUAGAAAAAAAAAAAAUAAAUCAACAUCUCAUAGUGAAUGAAUACUUACCUUUUUUCUUUUAAGAUAUACGUAUUGAAUGGUUGUAUUAAGGUCCCGAUCCCAAGCCCCAAGUUUCUUAUCGACUAGGCUCAUCUGCACUUCGUGUAACUUGGGUGUGCUUAAUUCCCCUUCUGAGAAAAUCUUCAUAUUGGGGCAAUCUGCCACCACUAAUGUUUCCAGAGAUGGGAAUUUGAAGUCGCAAUUAUUCCCAGAGCAGCUGAAACUAGUCAGACUUUCUAAGCCCAAAAGAAUCAAUUCCUUUAAAUCGCUGAAAACAAUUUCAUCUUUUGCUGCAUAAUUAUCUCCCUCAUCAUCCUCAUCUGCCACUAUUUCUGUUAUCAUCUUGCAGCAAACUAUGUGCAUUCGUCUCAGUCGCACCAGACUCCUUGCUGUUGAGGAUGUCAGUACAUGUAUCAUUCCAUGGCAAAGACAUACAAUCAAAGUUGUUAGGUUCUGAAAGGAUGUCGAGGAUGGCACUAGAUUAGUCAAAUUGUCACACUCGACUAUCUCCAGCUGUUGCAAAUUGUUGGUAUUGGUUGACUCUUGUUUGAAAAUCUGCUUCAGUUCACGACGCUGGUUUAUUCCCCUCAUCAUUGCUUCCAUCCCAUUUUCAAGGUUUUCAAAUGAUGUGUGCAAAUCUGCCUCAUUGUUCCCUCCUAUAGAGAGAAUUUUGAUGGUGUGAAAUCUCUGGAGGAAAUCGUCAAGUGAUAAAAUAGUACUUGACUCAUCAAGCCAGACAUCAAGAUAUUUAAGUUUGCAAAGCCAGUCUUCUGGAAAUAGGCCUAUGUGCUUUUCAUCAACAAUCAAUUCUUCCAAAUUGGGAAAUACCUGGGUGAUCAUCAAUCACGAAAAAAGCAAGAUGGAGUUAACACUUCUUUCUUACGAUUUCACAAAUUAAAGUAAAUACAAAGCAUUCCAAUGAUGCAUAUUGAUGGCCGGACAAAUUUAUACAUAUGCGGAGAGAGUAUGAUUUUCACCAGUAAAUACAAAGUAAAAACAAAGCAUUCCAUUUAAGUAAUGUGUAUUUUCUUCCAUUCUCUCUUCUUAACUCUUGUCCAGUUGAUAGAUUUUCAAAUUUUAUUAGAUUUGUGCAUAAUCUCUAUGAAAAAAGACUUCAAUUAUUCUCAAAUUGCGUUUAAACUUUGAGAUUCUUUUAAUUGAUCCGUUUAUUUGGUUUGAAUUGAAAAUCUUACAAAUUUCUUUUUUUUUUAAAUAUUGGAGUUUUUAACUUUUUCUUAAAGCAAAAAUGAAUAAAUAAUAUGAAUUUUAAAAGUUUAAUAAUAUAGUAAGAAGCUGGUAUUUCAUUAAUAUUCAUCCAACUCAAUGGAAUUAGAUAUAUUUAUUAUUGUGCAAGAAUGGAUUUUAUUGUACAUAAAGUUUAAUAGAAUAAGAUUUCUUAAUUUGAGUUUUGUCCAUCUUUCUAUAUAUAUUUCAAAAAUAUUAUUUAUGUUAGCACAAGAUGACCAAUUUCUACUUCAACAUCAAAAUUGAUAAUCAUUUUGUAUGUAACAAUACUGUACUAAGGAGUACUAAUUUGGAAAUAGCUCUUGAACGAUUUUCAGGGAACUAAAAUUAAAGUGAUUUAUGGAACUAACAUUUUCUUACUAAAAGACAAAGUGAUGAGGGCAAUGACGAAAAGAAAACUCUAUACUCUCAAAGUAGAAAUGCUUUCAAGUACCUAAGAAUUGAACAAUAAUUACAAAAAUCUUGCACGUACCUUUUCAAAAUGCAGAUCUCCUGUGCAGAAGCUUGUAAAAAUCUGCUUCAGAUCUGCUUGAGUGUUAUUAUUGGUAUUGGAGGACUCUCCUUUCAAAAUCUGCUUCAGAUCACGACGCUGAUUUAUUCCUGUUAUCACUACCUUCAUUCCAUUUUCAAACUCGUCAGAUGGAUCUUUCCAAAAAUCAUCGUCAUCGUUUUCUUUUAUAACAAGAACUUUGAUGGCUUGAAAUCUGUGGAGGAAAUCGUCAAGUGAUACAAUAGCAGCUGACUCAUCAAGCCGGACAUGAAGACAUUUAAGUUUGCAAAGCAAGUCUUCUGGAAAUAGACCUAUGUGCUUUUCAUCAACCCUCAAUUUCUCCAAAUUGGGGAACACCUGGGUGAUCAUCAAUCACAAAAGUGGCAAGAUGGAGUUAGCACUUCUUUCUAACGAUUUCACAAAUUAAAGUAAAAACAAAGCAUUCCAAUGAUGCAUAUUGAUGGUCACAGAAAAACACAAGGUGGAGUUGAUCUUCUUUCUAAAAACUUCACAUAUUAAAGUAAAUGCAAAGCAUUCUAAUGAUGAAUAAUAUUGAUGGCCAGACAAUAGAUACAUGGAUAGAUAGAUAGAUAGAUAGAUACAUACAUACAUACAUACAUACAUAUAUAUAUAUUGUUCUCAAUUAUUCUCAAUUUACAUUUAAACUUCCAGAUUCUUUUAAUCGAUCGGUUUAUUUGGUUUGAGUUGAAAAUCAUACAAAUUUCUUUUUUUUUUUUAAAUUAGAUAUUUUAACUUUUUUUUUAACAAAAGCAAAAAUGAAUAAACAGCUUGAAUUGCUAGCACAUAUGAAAAGAAGGAAAAUUUGCACGAAUUUAAAAAACUUAAUAAUAUAGUAAGAAGCUGGUAUUACAUUAAUAUUCAUCCAACCCAAGGGAAUUGGCUAUAGUUUACUAUUGUACAAGAAUGGGUUUUAUUGUACAUAAAGUUUAAUAGGAUAAAAUCUCUUCAUUUGAGUUUUGUCCAUCUCUCUACAUAUAUUUUUAAGCAUAUUAUUUAUGUUAACAUGAGAUGAACAUUGAUCAUCAUUUUGCAUGUAUGUGGCUUGAAAAUGGCACUCAGAAAUAAUAUGCCUAAAAAUAUUUGAAAAUGGCACUCAGAAAUAUUUUUGAUGUACUGUGGCUUGAAAAAUUCUAGAUCGUAUGAUCAUUUUCUUUGUUUGGCUAAUCAAAUGCACUGUCUCUUUCAUGUAUUAACUGAACAUAUAGGCAUAAAAUAAAAAGAAAAAAAGUAGACGAAGAAGAAAAUCUCUUGAAGAGUGAUAAUUAUGUUUAUUGAAGAUUUAUUGAAUUCAAUAUUCGAUAAUGAGAAGAAUUAUUGAAGAAUGAUAAUUAUGUUUAUAAGGAUAUUAUAAAAUAUAAAUAAACUGAUUUAUAUAACUAACAUUUUGUCACUAAAAGAUAAAGUGAUGAGGGCGAGGAAGACAAUAAAACUCUGAACUCUCAAAGUAGAAAUACUUUUCAGUACGUAAGAAUUGAAAAAUAACUACAAAAAUCUUGCACGCGUACCUUUUCAAUAUGCAGAUCACCUGUGCAGAAGCUUGUAAGCUGCGGAAGAGAACGAAGCUCAAGUGUCCUUAAUUGAGUGAGUUCAAUGACCAAUGGAAAUACAUUUUUCAAUUUAUCACACCCUUCCACCCUUAUGGUCUUUAAUUUGCAAAAAGACUCUGCUGUGAGUGGACCACGACAUAUUUCCUCAAGGUUUCUUAAAUCUCUCAGAAAUAAUGACUCCAAAAGGGGGAAUGCAAUCGUCGGAGCUGGCGUACAAUCCAUUGUGUCAACAAGACGAACAAGGUUGCCAUUAUGUUCGAUUUGGAGACGAUUCAGUUUUGGAAAGACUUCUCUGCCUGGUUCACAAAGAACAUUCUUCAUGUCCGGCAAUCCAUCUAAAGUUAGGUCUUCAAUACCCUUCAAUUGCAUGAUAUGCCCCUCGUUCAAGCAAAUGUUGGCACCAUUGGUGAGCUUCAGUUUGAAUUUUCUAGAAAUCCCAUCCCAUGGGCCAACCGACCACCAGUCAUAUCCUAUCGAUAUCCUGUACCUUUGCAGCAUUUUGAAGAACGACAAGUCUCUUGGUAGAGUCUUUUCAUCUUGGAUGAGUAUUUCUAAAGAGGUCAAUUUAGAUAAAUUAUUCAACUCGUCAAGGCUGGCAUUUCUUCUUUCACCGUCGACUCCUCCAACCUUCCCCCACAUAAUGGGACUCUGACCGAUAUACAAUUCUUCUAAUCUUGAUAAGCUUGAUAUGACAUUUGGUGGAAUAACUUGUAGAUUGAAACAGUAACUCAGAUCCAACAACCUCAAUUGAGUCAGCUCGCCCAUUUCUUCAACUAGUUUCUCCAUAUCAGAACCUCGAAGUGUAAGUAUUUCUAAUUUCUUCAGGUCUCCAAUAAUAGCUAUGUCUCCUAGUAUACAAAAAUCCAGAGACAAUGUUUGAAGGUUUUGUAAGAGACCAAGCGAUGAAGGCAAUGCCAACAAAUGCAUCUCAGUGAAAUCUAAAACUCUAAGCUCUGUCAUCUCAGUAAAAAUGUUAUCUGGGACUCUCAAAGAAGGAUCAUUGCUAAUACGAAAGUAUUUAAGUUGCGGACACUCGAACCCUUGAGGAAGCUCACUAAUAUUAGUAUUAAAUAAGGAGAUUGCGGUGCAAACCUUCAGUGUAUCCUUAUCUGGCCAGCUGGUCUCAUUUUCCACCGCAAACACAUGUUGGACUCUAGAUGCAAUAGAUAUGGCUACAUCACGAACAACAUCAUGCAUUGAAAACCAUUCACUUGAACGGCCAUCAAGCAACAAACAAGAGUUCUUGAGUUUAUCAACCAAUGUAUGUGCUCUAUCCCGUGCCUCAUCCAACGUGUUGAUGUUUUGAAACAGACCCAAACCCAUGCCAUAACAGAUCACGUCUUUAACGCAAGAGAUGAACGCGUACCCUAUUAGCAAAAAUGUUCUCCUGAGUUCCUCACCUUCUAACUGAUAGUAACUCAACUCUAUAGUUGAAUAGGCGGCCACAGCUUGUGUCCCAGAGAAACUUCUCAAGAAAGGCCUUUUUAAUUGUCGUAAAGCAUUCCUCCAUUCAUAGAGACUCUUAUUUUUCAAUGCCUUCGCUACGGGCACGAUGGCAAUGGGCAAACCAGCACAUUCCUUGACUACCUCUGUCGCUACAGAUUUCAGUUCACCAUUUUCUAUGCAAUCACCUGUCAUCUUCUUGAAAAGACUCCAAGCUUCUUUUUCAUUCAGAACAUCAACAAAAAAAUUUUGUUGACAAUCCAUUUUACAAGACAACACAUCUUGACUUCUUGCUGUCAGCAGAACUUUACAUCCGCCGUUAUCAUCUGCCACUGGAAUUCCAAUCGCCUCCAAAUCGAGACUCCCCCAAAUAUCAUCCAAGAUUAUGAGGAUCUUCGUCUCUUUCUUCAAUUGUUCGAGCAGCCUCCAUGCUCUUACAGUUUCACUCUCUUCAUCUAUUUUCAGGCCCAGCUUCUCUGCAAUUUCUCUUUGUAUUUCUUUUAUUUGUGGUGUUUGGGAAACACGUGAAGAAAUGACCUUCUCAAAGAGAUUAUUUUCCUUGGCCUGUCUGCCAACUUCUUUCACCAGCGUUGUCUUUCCAAUGCCGCCCAUCCCGUACACCCCAAUCAUGUUGAAGUUACGGUUGCUGAGUGCGUCUAGUAUCUCCUUCAAGGUGGACUUUCUCGAUUCAAAGUGCAUGAAAUCCUGGGUAGACUUAAGCCAUGUCUCCUCUGGAAUGGUACGGAAAGAAACACUGUCGAAUCUCCCUUUUUCAUGGAGUCCAACAAUAGCAUUCGCCUCUCUUUCUGCUUUCUUGCUAAGCUGGUACCGAGUCCUCAAAUUAGGACAUAACCCCUUCAAACACCGGUUGUUUGAAUUCUCUUUGUCUUCAAUAAGUAUUUCGACUUCAUUGAUCUCCUUGUUCGCAGAAAUCAGCCACUCCUCAACGUGCUGUUGGAUUCCGUCCCCUUUAAUUCUGGAAUCAUCAACCUUAUACUGCACACUGUCUCUAGCAUUCUUGAGCUUAUCAACUUCAUUAUUCAGCUUCUCGAAGUUGGUCUUGUAAGUGCAGCAGUAAGUAAAUGGAUAAAUUAUGGGAGCAACCAAGUACUCUGCAACUUUUGCAGUAACGGAGAUAACAAUUUCCAUUAUCAUUUUCUUUUUUAUUUUUCGGUUUCAGAAAACAGGGGAAAGCAAAACUAAUCAAACUAAGCAGAAGUAAUCAAUCAGCUGGGAUGAGGGAAAUAAGAAGUUUGGAUAAAUUGCUAAAAUAAGAGGUUGAAUAGAUUUAAGGGAGGAGGAGAGGAAAAGAGUGAAACAAAUGGGGAUCCUUUUUCUGCUAAGAAAAAUUGAAAAGCGAGUACAAUAAAUGAAAGAUUUGCAAAGAAGGUGUAGGAUCGAGGACAAGAACGAUUCAGAAAAGGGAGACAGAAAAUGAAGAAGAGAUUUCAGAGAACUCUAGAGAUAAGGGAAAUGCAGAGGCAGACAGUUGUCAUCUCAAAUUCAUACAAGGAGAAGACUCGUGCUUCCAAGUCAACUAAAUUCUCAAUGAUUGAGAUAGAUAGUUAUAAGGGUUAAAGUUAUAAGGGUUAUUAUGGUUUUAUUUUAAAAAAUAAAAAAUUAUAAGAUAUAAAAUAAUUAUAAAAAGUAUUGGUGUUAUCAUUUUAGUAGUGUAUCUUUAAAAAAAUCUUUUAUUUUAUAAUAUUUUUGCUAAAAUUGUGAGUCCAAAACUAACGUCAUACUAAUAUUAAAGGCCUAAAAGUGUCUUUACAUUAAAAACUAUGAUAAAAUUGUAUGCAAAUUAACAUUACAAGGGCGGCAUAUUUAUUAUUGGUUAAGAAAGAGGGAAAAAAAAUUGGAAUCUCAAAUAUCUAGCGUCAUCAUUAUUUUUUUUUUUCUUCAUUUUUUUUCUUUUUCCAGACAGUGGUCUACCAUCUUUGAAAAAUUAUUGGCACUUUCGAAUGGGUAUUAAGCCAUGCAUUGGCAUUGAGGGUCUCAUCUGAAAGAGGAAUUUUGGUAGCAGCAGUGGCUGUGUAAUUUUUUUUUUUUAAAUGAUUUAUCUCUAGGAAUGCAGGAUCAAUUUAAAAGUGAAUUUUAUAUUAAAUUUCUUUGAGAUUGCUUUUCUGUUGAUCUGUUUGAUUUGGCUAUGGAAUGAUGGUUUUAUUACUAUGAGUUUGAAGGAUUUAUGAAAUAGAAAUUAAGAUUGAUAGAAAACAUAUUGAUCUCCGAGCUUUAAUGGCAGUUUAAACUUGUUAUCUUCAAGCCUCACCGGUGGUUUCAAUUUGAUACUUUGAUGAGAGCAAAAUUAGCAAUUUAGCACUAGAGGAAGAUAUUUAAUCACAAGUAUAAGAAGUUUUGACAGCGAAGAGAGGUAUUCUUCAACUGGGGUUAAUUUUUUAUUUUUGUUUUCUUAUUUUUUAUUAAAAAUUUAAUUAAUUUUUAAAAUAAGGUCAUACUUGGUAUUUUACCAGUUAACUAACAAUGAUAAACAGAAAUAUAAUAAAAUGAAAGAUUUUACAAAGAUACAGUAAUAAAAUGCUAAACAUUAAUAUUUUUUUUUUGUUAUUUGAUGCUUCAUACUUUAUAAUGUAGUCAAGCAAUAAUAACCCUAGUUACAAUUACAUGUAGAUGGUGUUAAUUGGGCAUUUUUCAACUUGUAGGUCUAAGGCUUCUCAAGCAAAUUUUAUGGUAGCUUCCAUUAAUUUUAAGUGUUAAUAAAAUAUUUUACUACUGUAAUUUAAAAAUUACAGUUGAUAAGCAAUAAUAGCAGAGAGAGAAAAUUAAAUAGAUUGAGAAUGAUUUUUGAUUCAGGGCAAGUUUUCGAGUGCUUUACGAACAAUCAAAAUGCUAAUCCUGUUAGCCAAAAAACACAAGCGCUUUGUAAAGAACAGUACGGGAAAAACCCUCUAUUUAAAUAACAAUCGUGUAAUUACGGAGGGGGUAUCUUAAUUACAUGGCAGUUACAUUCAAUAACAACAAUAUUACUUAAAAAUUUUCUAUUAGCAAUGAGUGUGUUGGCGGUAGGAUAAAAAAAUCUGAAGACUUUGCAAACUUUUUGUGAAAAUGCAUCGCAGUUGUCUUGUUCUUUCGCUGUUGAUAAUCGCAAUGAACUGAUGAAGGCCAAGAGACCCAAAGUGAAGUGACCUAUGUGCUUUUCUAAUUACCCUCCUACAAACUGUAAAGCCGAAGUUUGCGGACUUUAUUAUCAUUUUUUUUUUAAAAAAAAAAAAGAUAUACAAAUAAAAAAGACAAAAGAUGAGAUGAGACUUAUAGUACCAGUGGCGGGCCCCCCUGGGUCCUCAAAUUAUUCAUAUGGGCAUUUCAUCGAACAGUGGAUAUACUCGGCAUCUGCACUUGGAAGACGUGUUCAAAAGCUCUAAAUCAUGUUAAAGUCGACCAAAAAGACAAAACAUAGAAAGCAACAAUCCAACAACUUGGUUAAAAUAUUCGCUAUCACAAAUGGUUGCGUUAACAUGUCCAACAACGAUUAUUAUGAAAACGGGACCAGAAGACGUAUAAGGGAUUUCGGAGAAUUUGCGAGAGGUGGGAUGAUUAAGAAAAUGCAGGAGCAGGAUAUUUAUGACCUCUAUUAGUAAUUUGAUUUCGUGAAUCAUUUUCAAAAGGAAAAUAACGCACCAUCAAGUCAACCUUGGUGCAGAAAAAUAUUAACAUUUAAUGAACAUAGAGGGAUGAGUUGGGCCAAGUCUUUAAAUCAGAUCUGUCGUGGAAUCUAACAGGGAGAUUAAAAGAAAAAUCAAUCAACUAGUAUAUAAUAUAAUGUUUUUACAUUUAACUAAUUAGGAGACUGAUACACUAGCAAUCAGCAUUAAUCAAUUAUUUGAUAAACCAGUAAAUAUUGGAUAUCUCGGUGCAAAACAGAGUGUUGAGAGAUAAAAAUUAACCUGGUGUCUUUGGCAGGUGUUUAAUAUAAUUGCUAAGCUUGCCACAUGCCAUUGCCAACUUUGGCCAUCGGCUAGCUG
rnacentral:lncRNA from 1 species